rnacentral:rRNA from 1 species
AUUGAACGCUGGCGACAGGCCUAACACAUGCAAGUCGAGCGCGAAAGUCUUCGGAUGAGUAAAGCGGCGAACGGGUGAGUAAUGCAUGGGAAUCUGCCUGGUAGUGGGGGACAACGUCUCGAAAGGGACGCUAAUACCGCAUACGCCCUACGGGGGAAAGGGGGGGAUCUUCGGACCUCUCGCUAUCAGAUGAGCCCAUGUCAGAUUAGCUAGUUGGUGAGGUAAAGGCUCACCAAGGCGACGAUCUGUAACUGGUCUGAGAGGAUGAUCAGUCACACUGGAACUGAGACACGGUCCAGACUCCUACGGGAGGCAGCAGGUGGGGAAUAUUGGACAAUGGGGGCAACCCGUAGAUCCAGCCAUGCCGCGUGUGUGAAGAAGG